rnacentral:lncRNA from 1 species
CUGAGCUGGGUCUGGAAGAGUCCCUAGGCAUAGGCCGGCUGCAGUGGGCGGGGUAAUGGCUUAUCCAGGCCACUGGAGCAGAGAAGGCAAGAAUAGAAAAAGAGAACUGAGACAAUUCCUUUAAAUAGCGGCUGCUGAUGAGGCAAGAAGGCAUUCGCUCAAGGGGGUUUGGGAUAUGAAGAGAAGGGUUUACUUUAAGGCCAAGGAUGGGGAAGGUCUGAGUAGCUUGUACACAGGAAGAAUUAAGUGCUGCUCUGUGCUCAGUGCGGUUGUGGAGGGAGCAGCUGGCUGCACUGGUCCAUGGCUGGGUUUGGCAGGAGCGAGAACACCAGCCCGGAGCAGACACAGCAUUCCUGGGGCAGGACUGCCCCGCAUGUCACAUCACGAAGCCCAGUGCCCGGCACACAUUUCAGCUGUGGCCAGACUCCCCACUUGCUGUGGACACAGAGCUGGGCAGGACCAGAGGGAUUAUCUGUUCAACCCUUCAUUUCACAGCUGGAGAAACAGGCUCAGAGAGGCAAAGGGGCUCGGCCAAGGUCACACAUUCAAGUAAGAGCAGUGGAGAUUCUGCCCCAGCCCUGGUCCUCUAAUCUAAUCCAUCAGCCCAUAGGAACCGAGCAGCCAUCCCCACGCACACGUGGGACCAGAGCCACUGACCCUGAGAGCCAGCAGGGCUUCCAGGCAACCCUCCCUCCCCGCCCCUCCUGAUUCCAAGCUCUGGAGACAAAAGAGCAGAGGUGAGGUGAGCACCCCAAUGUCACGGGCCAGGCAGCGCCCAGGGGGACGAGAACCCAGGGCUCCAGACUCCACCCUGGCUGCUUCCACCACACCCCCGUCCCCACCCUAGGCACCCUCAGCUCUCCAGCCACUCUGGACACAGCCCUGCAUGUCUCUAUGGCUGUGUGCGCCUCCUCCAUGGGGCCACAUCUGCGUCUGAUUGAAUAAACACCUGGGGGGACGACCA